AUGGGCAAGUAGCUCUGAGCUAAUCAGC
rnacentral:piRNA from 1 species